AUUUGUGACUGACACAUUAUUGCUUUCCAGGAAGUGGUAGGGAUGACAAAAAAGCAUAUUCCAACAGGGCUUUGGAGAGGAUAAAGUCCAAGAAGUACUGAAACCAAGAGUCACUUAAAUUUUUAAGAAUCUUCAUUUUAAAGAUAAGUAGUAGUCCACAUAGGAAUGCAUGGUAUUCAAUGAUGAUUUCCUACAUUUAUUCAAGGGAUAGGAACAUGCUAUUGUGAUCAGAAAGAAAAAUCAAACAAAAAGAAGAGGCCAAAGGAAAGGAUAUGGUCAGAAAAAAAAAUCAAACAAAAAGAAGAAGGGAGACAAAUUGGAGUGAUAUCCAACUAAUCAGAAGCUGGAUGUAGCUGAAGGACUUCUUGUUCUAAUUUAUCUGGCUGUGUCUUCACUGAGCGGAAGAAGAUAUGGUGGUUGAAGUUACAAGGACUCCUUGUUGUAACCAGGAGCCGAUCUUGAUCAAUGGAGCUACAUAAAGCAUGUUGAAAUGCAAAGAAAGAUAGAAGGAGCCUGUGGUACUGAAAACAUUGAGGAUUCUCUGAACCAGCCUUGGCUACCCCACCAUUUAACUUGAGAAAAAAUAUUUCUUUCCUCUUUAAGCUCUUCUUCUACCAAAUGUAUCAGGAAAUAAAAAUAUAUUAAAUUAAAACAAA
rnacentral:lncRNA from 1 species